UACAGAGGGUGCAAACGUUGUUCGGAAUCACUGGGCGUAAAGCGCACGUAGGCGGUCUCUUAAGUCGGGGGUGAAAUCCUGGAGCUCAACUCCAGAACUGCCUUCGAUACUGGGAGACUCGAGUUCGGGAGAGGUGAGUGGAACUGCGAGUGUAGAGGUGAAAUUCGUAGAUAUUCGCAAGAACACCAGUGGCGAAGGCGGCUCACUGGCCCGAUACUGACGCUGAGGCGCGAAAGCUAGGGGAGCAAACGGG
rnacentral:rRNA from 1 species